rnacentral:rRNA from 1 species
UACGGGGGGGAGCAAGCGUUGUUCGGAUUUACUGGGCGUAAAGGGCGCGUAGGCGGCCACCGCAAGUCGACUGUGAAAUCUCCGGGCUUAACCCGGAAAGGUCAGCCGAUACUGCGGGGCUAGAGUGCAGAAGGGGCAACUGGAAUUCUCGGUGUAGCGGUGAAAUGCGUAGAUAUCGAGAGGAACACCUGCGGCGAAGGCGGGUUGCGUGGGCUGACACUGACGCUGAGGCGCGAAAGCUAGGGGAGCGAACGGG